rnacentral:tRNA from 1 species
ACUUUUUUAGUAUAAAAAAAUAUAUUUGACUUCCAAUCAAAAGAUCCUUUAUAGGAAAAAGUA